rnacentral:rRNA from 1 species
GACGAACGCUGGCGGCGUGCUUAACACAUGCAAGUCGAACGGAAAGGCUCCAGAUUGCUGGAGUACUCGAGUGGCGAACGGGUGAGUAACACGUGGGUAAUCCGCCCUGCACUCUGGGAUAAGCCUGGGAAACUGGGUCUAAUACUGGAUAUGACCUUUCUCCUUAUGGGGUUUGGUGGAAAGUUUUUCGGUGUAGGAUGGGCCCGCGGCCUAUCAGCUUGUUGGUGAGGUGAUGGCCUACCAAGGCGACGACGGGUAGCCGGCCUGAGAGGGUGAUCGGCCACAUUGGGACUGAGAUACGGCCCAGACUCGUACGGGAGGCAGCAGUGGGGAAUAUUGCACAAUGGGCGGAAGCCUGAUGCAGCGACGCCGCGUGAGGGAUGACGGCCUUCGGGUUGUAAACCUCUUUCAGCAGAGACGAAGCGUAAGUGACGGUACCUGCAGAAGGAGCACCGGCUAACUAUGUG